rnacentral:misc_RNA from 1 species
UGUGGGAGCGAGCCUGCUCGCGAUGGCGGUGUGCCAGUCAGUGAUGAGUUGACUGAUAGACCGCUAUCGCGAGCAGGCUCGCUCCCACA